AUUGAACGCUGGCGGCAUGCUUUACACAUGCAAGUCGAACGGCAGCGCGGGCUUCGGCCUGGCGGCGAGUGGCGAACGGGUGAGUAAUACAUCGGAACGUGCCCAGUAGUGGGGGAUAGCUCGGCGAAAGCCGGAUUAAUACCGCAUACGACCUGAGGGUGAAAGCGGGGGAUCUUCGGACCUCGCGCUAUUGGAGCGGCCGAUGGCAGAUUAGCUAGUUGGUGGGGUAAAGGCCUACCAAGGCGACGAUCUGUAGCUGGUCUGAGAGGACGACCAGCCACACUGAGACUGAGACACGGCCCAGACUCCUACGGGAGGCAGCAGUGGGGAAUUUUGGACAAUGGGCGAAAGCCUGAUCCAGCAAUGCCGCGUGUGUGAUGAAGGCCUUCGGGUUGUAAAGCACUUUUGGCGGGAACGAAAAGGACUGUGCCAAUACCACGGUUCGAUGACGGUACCCGCAGAAUAAGCACCGGCUAACUACGUG
rnacentral:rRNA from 1 species